rnacentral:rRNA from 1 species
GACGAACGCUGGCGGCGUGCCUAAUACAUGCAAGUAGAACGCUGAAGAGAGGAGCUUGCUCUUCUUGGAUGAGUUGCGAACGGGUGAGUAACGCGUAGGUAACCUGCCUUGUAGCGGGGGAUAACUAUUGGAAACGAUAGCUAAUACCGCAUAACAAUGGAUGACACAUGUCAUUUAUUUGAAAGGGGCAAUUGCUCCACUACAAGAUGGACCUGCGUUGUAUUAGCUAGUAGGUGAGGUAAUGGCUCACCUAGGCGACGAUACAUAGCCGACCUGAGAGGGUGAUCGGCCACACUGGGACUGAGACACGGCCCAGACUCCUACGGGAGGCAGCAGUAGGGAAUCUUCGGCAAUGGGGGCAACCCUGACCGAGCAACGCCGCGUGAGUGAAGAAGGUUUUCGGAUCGUAAAGCUCUGUUGUAAGUCAAGAACGGGUGUGAGAGUGGAAAGUUCACACUGUGACGGUAGCUUACCAGAAAGGGACGGCUAACUACGUGCCAGCAGCCGCGGUAAUACGUAGGUCCCGAGCGUUGUCCGGAUUUAUUGGGCGUAAAGCGAGCGCAGGCGGUUUGAUAAGUCUGAAGUUAAAGGCUGUGGCUCAACCAUAGUUCGCUUUGGAAACUGUCAAACUUGAGUGCAGAAGGGGAGAGUGGAAUUCCAUGUGUAGCGGUGAAAUGCGUAGAUAUAUGGAGGAACACCGGUGGCGAAAGCGGCUCUCUGGUCUGUAACUGACGCUGAGGCUCGAAAGCGUGGGGAGCGAACAGGAUUAGAUACCCUGGUAGUCCACGCCGUAAACGAUGAGUGCUAGGUGUUGGAUCCUUUCCGGGAUUCAGUGCCGCAGCUAACGCAUUAAGCACUCCGCCUGGGGAGUACGACCGCAAGGUUGAAACUCAAAGGAAUUGACGGGGGCCCGCACAAGCGGUGGAGCAUGUGGUUUAAUUCGAAGCAACGCGAAGAACCUUACCAGGUCUUGACAUCCCGAUGCUAUUUCUAGAGAUAGAAAGUUACUUCGGUACAUCGGUGACAGGUGGUGCAUGGUUGUCGUCAGCUCGUGUCGUGAGAUGUUGGGUUAAGUCCCGCAACGAGCGCAACCCCUAUUGUUAGUUGCAAUCAUUCAGUUGGGCACUCUAGCGAGACUGCCGGUAAUAAACCGGAGGAAGGUGGGGAUGACGUCAAAUCAUCAUGCCCCUUAUGACCUGGGCUACACACGUGCUACAAUGGUUGGUACAACGAGUUGCGAGUCGGUGACGGCGAGCUAAUCUCUUAAAGCCAAUCUCAGUUCGGAUUGUAGGCUGCAACUCGCCUACAUGAAGUCGGAAUCGCUAGUAAUCGCGGAUCAGCACGCCGCGGUGAAUACGUUCCCGGGCCU